rnacentral:rRNA from 1 species
GAUGAACGCUGGCGGCGUGCCUAAUACAUGCAAGUCGAGCGAACAGACGAGGAGCUUGCUCCUCUGACAUUAGCGGCGGACGGGUGAGUAACACGUGGAUAACCUACCUAUAAGACUGGGAUAACUUCGGGAAACCGGAGCUAAUACCGGAUAACAUGUUGAACCGCAUGGUUCAACAGUGAAAGACGGUCUUGCUGUCACUUAUAGAUGGAUCCGCGCCGCAUUAGCUAGUUGGUAAGGUAACGGCUUACCAAGGCAACGAUGCGUAGCCGACCUGAGAGGGUGAUCGGCCACACUGGAACUGAGACACGGUCCAGACUCCUACGGGAGGCAGCAGUAGGGAAUCUUCCGCAAUGGGCGAAAGCCUGACGGAGCAACGCCGCGUGAGUGAUGAAGGUCUUCGGAUCGUAAAACUCUGUUAUUAGGGAAGAACAAAUGUGUAAGUAACUAUGCACGUCUUGACGGUACCUAAUCAGAAAGCCACGGCUAACUACGUG